rfam:Daedalea quercina L-15889 unplaced genomic scaffold DAEQTscaffold_26, whole genome shotgun sequence.
UGCCCCAUGGCUGAGUUGGUCACAGCGUCCGACUGUUACGAUGUUUCGCGCUACUGCAUGCGUGGUUUGUGUGAUGUGCAAUCGGAAGGUCGUGAGUUCGAGCCUCACUGGGGCAG